GCCAAUUUGGCACUGCUUUUGGGCUACUUUCUGUUCGGAAUCAGUGGAAGAGCGUGGCGAGUAUCUGGCAGUCUUGGUUCUUUUGCUGGAGUUCUCAACGAUAUAAUAAAUGGUGGAAGGUCGUGCAACAUUCGGAGCGGAGGGGAAUAUGUCUACGACACGCAAAGAAGCAAUUCCUUCUGUCCAAGUAUUCGGCAGAAA